rnacentral:misc_RNA from 1 species
CUGGAUCUGCGCGGCUUUGUGUCGGAGCUACAGAGGCGCGACUGUUCCAGCUAUGUACAAGACAUCAUGGCCAGCUCCUGAUGUGUACACUGAAGGCUCUAAUUCCUGUUAUAGCCUGAUUCAAAAGUUGAACCACAUUGUUUCAGAUGUCUUCCCUUCAUAUUUCAUGAAGAUUUUUGUUACUUGAUAGAUAUAUUAUAUAUCAAGCAUAUUAUUUUGUUCUUGUUAUAUAUCUGUCAAUCUUAUAAAGAUAACAGAUUUAAAUAAGGUAGAAAGAUGACUUUGAUAUAUAGUUACAACUCAGGACAUAAAUUUAACACUUGCCAAAUGCAAGUAAAAUGUAAUGUUUUUUACUGUUGACAAUGCAGUCAGUGCUACAAUUAUGGAAGUGUUCAUUGUACUGAUGAUUUAAAGAUUUGAUUUACAGUUAUCUUUUAUAUAUGUACAAAAGAUACCUCUUAGAGAGAUACACAAUGACUGGCAAUACACUUUGUUAAUGAUGGGCAUUGAGAUGCAGUUGUCAGGUGUGCAAUAUACAGAUUAAUAAUGUAUAUUUUCAUUAAGGAUGCCAUAGACUGACGAAUUAAUUUUUCAUUCACAAUAAAUACUCUUUAAUAUU